rnacentral:tRNA from 1 species
GGGGCGGACGUACCCAAGUGGAUUAAGGCAGG